CAAACAGGAUUAGAUACCCUGGUAGUCCACGCCCUAAACGAUGUCGACUAGUCGUUCGGAGAGGCAAUGCACUGAGUGACGCAGCUAACGCGUGAAGUCGACCGCCUGGGGAGUACGGCCGCAAGGUUAAAACUCAAAGGAAUUGACGGGGACCCGCACAAGCGGUGGAUGAUGUGGAUUAAUUCGAUGCAACGCGAAAAACCUUACCUACCCUUGACAUGUCUGGAACCUUGCUGAGAGGCGAGGGUGCCUUCGGGAGCCAGAACACAGGUGCUGCAUGGCUGUCGUCAGCUCGUGUCGUGAGAUGUUGGGUUAAGUCCCGCAACGAGCGCAACCCUUGUCCUUAGUUGCCAGCACGUAAUGGUGGGAACUCUAAGGAGACCGCCGG
rnacentral:rRNA from 1 species